CCGGAGCCGGAUAUAUGUUCAACGUUCCGGGCUCAUACAGCCUCUUAUUUCGCAGCAUGGUGAGGGAGGUGGACUCUUGCUGUUUUUUUUCCCCCAGUUUGUUAUCUAAACGUUUAUGCUAUGACAGUCAAGAGAAGCCGAAAGUCACCAGUCUUCUGUCGCCGAGUGGCUACGUUUGUCUCGAAGGAGACCAACGGUCCAGACAGACAAUUGAAGCUGAAACCGAUGACAGUGGCAGACUGAAGGAUGGAGGCUGCUGUACUUUCACAGACCUCAAGACUUGGGAGCUCAAUCCCUCAAGGGACGUGACCAUGCUGAGGUUCAAGUUGUGCUGGACCUAAUCAGAUAAGCGAGCCUGUGAGUUUAGUCUGUACAUUGGUUAUGAAAACAGGACACAGUUUCAGCCAGUGAUGACAAACUAAACUAAACUUUUCUGACACCUACUAUGAGAGCUGAACUCCAGCUCCUGAUUCUAAUUUUAUUCUGAGGCUACAUUAUCUAUAGAACUAUCACAGCCUUCACCUCAGAAUUGUUACCUUUUCCUAACUUUGUUUUAAAACUUUAAACCACUUUACAGGGAGAAAAAGAUGAGGCUUCAAAGCUGGACAAAGAUCCGAGGCCUUUACAUUUCAGAUGGAUGUGAGAGGAGUUGGGAGGGGAGACUGAAGACUUGGGAGCUCCAACCCCUAAGUUUCUAAUGGUGAUCACUGAUUUGAUCAAAGGGAAAUACUGCUGAUUCUGGCGGAUCAUAACUCAACACAGAGGAAGUUAAUUCUCUCUCAGGACAGACGCCUGGUGAUCCGCUUUAUUUUAAUGAUUUCUCCAACACUUGAUGUUGUCCACCACCAGAGGACUGCUGCCUUCAAGCUGCACAACAAUCCUGAAUGAACAAACCACAAUUUUAAUGUUUAAUGAAGAACAAAAUGACAGAGCCUACGAUAAUGGUGUUUGGAUAGUACUGAAACUACUGCAUCAAACUGUCAAAUACAUUUGUUGAAUAAACAGUGAUUCAGUUAACAGUUUACUAAA